GCCAAUGCUGCUGGUCUGAAGACCACACUUUGAGAAGCAGUUUCCACCGCUUGGAGAAGCAGUUUCCACUACUUUCAGAAGCAGUGGCAUAGCGUGAUAGGCGUGUGACCCGUUUCGAUCAGAAAGCUAUAAGGACACCUGGGAAAGCUGGUCUUUCCCGAUAAGCAGCCAUCAGCCUUCCGAUUUUGAUGACUUCAGUUGGAAUUCUAAUUGUGCUUAAUUUCUGCCUCUUUACCCAUCUGGUGAACGUCAUGGACUUAGACCAUGUUCUGAAGCCGCUUGGUUUCUCUAGUUCCUGAAGGAAAAGUCCAUCUAUGUUUAUGGCUUUUUGCCGACGUUAUGGGAAGGGAUUCUUUAAAAACGAAGCCUUUUCAAGAAAACUUUAACGCUUGUUGAGAAACACAUAGCUUAUUUUAGCUUUGGAAGACUGGAGGGAAAUCUUGCUGUGAUCUUCUAGAUACACAACCCAGACCAGAAUGCUGACUGCCACCUGGCCAUCUCUGGAGUGUUUUUUUUUUUCAGGGCCACAUAAGUUCCUGCUCAAGAUAGGGGAGAGAGUAUAUCGCUUCCAGUCCUAACAAGGCCUGAGAUCACUUCUUGUCAUAAUUGUACAAAACUAAUGGUAAGACUCAAUAUCAGGUGCUCGUUCUCCUUCUGCGAUAUUGCCCUAAUAGGUCCAGCUAAACCCUGAGGGCAGAAACGUUUUUCUUCUUAUAAGUUAAGCAUAGCUAGGCAAGAAGAGCAAUGAUCUAGGGGCCCCAGACAAA